rnacentral:lncRNA from 1 species
UGUGCAGCAGUUUCUGGAAUCAGCAUAAUAUUUCCUGAACGUUGAUGUCCACUGAUGAAAUCUUCUGUGUUUGUAGAUCACAGGCUUCACUGCUGGAAACCUGGCUGGACUCCUGAUGUGUCAACUAUCCAGCAGCAGCAGUUACUCCAAGGAGAUCUGGAAACUGCUUUUCACCAAAGCAAAUGAUGUUCUGGACGGAGCCCUCGUCAUCUUCUCCAGUGCAGCAGCAAAUAUGGUAAAUGAGUCUUGUACAUCUGUCCUCUAGUGUUCAGUGUUAGAUUGACUGGGAAUCUGACAGUAAUUCCUCCCCAUUACAUCAUCAGUCUCAGCCAAUCAGAGGUGAAGUCGUGUCCCAAGUGCUGGAUGUGAUUGCAGAGUUGAGACUGGAGCGCAUCAGUCCUGACCAAUGGAGAGACCUCCCUUUCAUCAGCAAGUUGUUGGGUCAAUAUCUGAAGCCAUUUUUACCGUUUGCGUCAUCAUCCCUACUGCAGUGCACUAGCAGCAAAAACCUCAGCUGCCAAACUUACCAGCACAUUCUGUCAGAGGUCACACUCGUCAAUCAGUCUCAAGGAAGAAACAUGGUGAGCUUCUUCAUCCUGCCCUUCCUCAGAAGAAACACAACAGAUGCGGGCUGUGUGACGACUGCUAACAACAGUGUUGAGUGGCUGCAGAAGAACUUUGGCCCGUUCUCUCAGUAUGUGUCUCUCAAAGAUCUGCUCCCCAUCAACAGACUCUUCGAUCCCGUAUGUCUCCACAUCUUCCCAUGUGAUUUCAUCAAAGAAGAUUUAUAAAAAUAACACCAACGUCUCCUUACCCUUCACUUUAAUUCU